GUGUCUACCUCGGGGGGCACGAAAGUGCUGAGAUUGCGAAAGCUGACCCGUUGAACCUGAACCGGUUAACACCGGCGGAGGGAAGGUAUGGGCAAAACUC
rnacentral:ncRNA from 2 species